UAUUCUGCCCUACGGGGAAGGAUGAGAAGCUUCGACUAAGGUUCGACUCGAGCGUAGCGAGAGAACGUUGCCGCAGGCAACGGCCCGAAGGGCGAGGCGCUUUAGCGCCGAGUUAUCCUUCCCCCACCACUG
rnacentral:sRNA from 1 species